UUCAUUAUAUCCAAAAUCACGAUACAUCUGAAGGAGAAACGUGCAAGAAUAGCCCUAAGUUAGUCAAUUCAAAUUCUGGUUUUCAUGAAUCUCCUCACCGACAAACCACCCAUAUAAAAUUUAGACAAACCUCUUUACCCUUAAAAAAAAAAUGGUUGAGGUUGCAAGCAUUUCAAAUCAUUUAGCUUGAAUUCGAAAAUCAGAGAAUUCCUAAGGUUUUUCUUGCUUCCACGACUUCAAAAAUCAGCAAACUCUCAAAGAUUACCUCGAUAUCGACCGUCGGGAACUCAACAUUGGAGUCCUCAUCCUGCAAGUCGGCUGCGCGAACUCAACACCAGAGUCCUCUUCUCGGUAGAAAUUUUGGUUUGUAAGGUUCACUUACUUAAUUAGAAUGGGAAAAAGGAUUCCAUAAUGUGUCAUUAUUGUAGAGUUAAUAGAGACACAUCUUGAUAAAUGCCGAAGUAAGCAUCGGUGCCAUACUGUAAGAGUGGAUUCCAAAAGUGUUUUGAGGUGAAAAGGGGGAUCGAUAAUAAAGGAAAUCUAUUCAAAUGCUGCAGUUAAAAAUGCAAUUUUUGGGAAUGGGUUCGAGAAGGUGAAUCAAGCGAAUCAAGUGUCGUCAAUAGCUCGGUGAAUCCUUCAUCGAAGGAAGCAAUGUCAGAUUUGUCCCUUAGGUUUCAAUAUCAAAUUGAGCUACAUGACAAAGAAGAUGUCUAGAUUUCGAUGAACAUGAACUUAACGAUCCACAAUGGCAAAAAAACCGUGGAAAAGAAUGCAAAAUGAAAGUGGCUGGCUUGAUUAGUAGCCCUCAAUAUUUAAUAAAUGUUUACGUUAUGUAUGUUUGUAUUUGUGUGACUAUUUCUAGAGAACUUUGUGCCUACUUCCAGAAAAUGGACCCAAAAGAUGCUUUCUGA